rnacentral:lncRNA from 1 species
UUUGUCUUAAAAUGUUAAUUUCCAAUUAAAAUAUUGAAUGCAGAGAUUAUUUCUCUUGUAUACAAAUUCCGGAUUUUUUUUUUUUUUCAGGUAUACCAAAGAAUUUGGCUCUGUAAUGAAAGAAAUGCAGAUAGACUUCCAUCACUGCCAACAGAGAAACCUAGAAAUACUUCUUGAGAAAAUGAGAUCCUCUUUAUGUUCUCUGGGUCUACUCCAGAAUUCUACACAUAAUAGAAGUCUCAAGAACUAGAUUCAGUCUGGAAUUCUUUAAUCAAAUUGAUUCUGAGAACAGUGACAGUGUCCUAAAAUGAAUCUCCUUGUGAUGGACUUCAGCGUGAAUAAACCUUCAGGUCAAUAAACCA